GGAAACAGGCAUCGCUCAGUGGCAGAACAUCUGCCUUGCAUGUAGAAAGUCUCAGGUUCAAUCCCCAGCUUUUCCA